UAGUGGCGGACGGGUGAGUAACGCGUGGGAAUCUGCCCUCAGGAGGGGGAUAACGGUUGGAAACGACCGCUAAUACCCCAUAUGCCGAGAGGUGAAACGAGAUUCGCCUGAGGAUGAGCCCGCGUCUGAUUAGCUAGUUGGUGGGGUAAAGGCCUACCAAGGCAUCGAUCAGUAGCUGGUCUGAGAGGAUGAUCAGCCACACUGGGACUGAGACGCGGCCCAGACUCCUACGGGAGGCAGCAGUGGGGAAUUUUCCGCAAUGGGCGCAAGCCUGACGGAGCAACGCCGCGUGAGGGAUGAAGGCCUCUGGGCUGUAAACCUCUUUUCUCAAGGAAGAAGAACUGACGGUACUUGAGGAAUAAGCCACGGCUAA
rnacentral:rRNA from 1 species